UACGGGGGGAGCAAGCGUUGUUCGGAUUUACUGGGCGUAAAGGGCGCGUAGGCGGCCACCGCAAGUCGACUGUGAAAUCUCCGGGCUUAACCCGGAAAGGUCAGCCGAUACUGCGGGGCUAGAGUGCAGAAGGGGCAACUGGAAUUCUCGGUGUAGCGGUGAAAUGCGUAGAGAUCGGGAGGAACAUCUGUGGCGAAGGCGGCCAUCUGGACCAUUACUGACGCUGAGGCACGAAAGCGUGGGGAGCAAACAGG
rnacentral:rRNA from 1 species